rnacentral:rRNA from 1 species
CCUACGGGAGGCAGCAGUGAGGAAUAUUGGUCAAUGGGCGUGAGCCUGAACCAGCCAAGUCGCGUGAAGGAUGAAGGUUCUAUGGAUUGUAAACUUCUUUUAUAUGGGAAUAAAGUGCGGGACGUGUUCCGUUUUGUAUGUACCAUAUGAAUAAGCAUCGGCUAACUCCGUGCCAGCAGCCGCGGUAAUACGGAGGAUCCGAGCGUUAUCCGGAUUUAUUGGGUUUAAAGGGUGCGUAGGCGGUUAAUUAAGUCAGCGGUGAAAGUUUGUGGCUCAACCAUAGAAUUGCCGUUGAAACUGGUUGACUUGAGUAUAUUUGAGGUAGGCGGAAUGCGUGGUGUAGCGGUGAAAUGCAUAGAUAUCACGCAGAACCCCGAUUGCGAAGGCAGCUUACUAAGCCAUAACUGACACUGAAGCACGAAAGCGUGGGGAUCAAACAGGAUUAGAUACCCGGGUAGUC